rnacentral:misc_RNA from 1 species
AAGGGAAUUACCUCAGACAGACUGCUCAGUGUGUGGCAAUUGCUAUUGGAAAUUUCCUAAACCUCUGUGACAACAGGAAGGGAUGAAGAUUAUUUUACAGUAGCUCUUAUGUUCGACAUGAGCUCUAUCUAUUUUUCUUCCCCGUUGAUGCCAGAAAUUACCAGCUUAAUAGUACGAUGGUGACACGCUAUCCUUAGAUUUUUCCAAUCUGAAUGUGGCUUUUCUAGCAUGCCAAAACUCAGUUUACUAAAGAUAAUAAAUGCAUAAAGUUGGAACAACUUUAUUUCAACCAAUAUUUUCUCUGUAUACAUCAGGUGAACCUGCAUUUAAAAUAAUGCUCUUGAUCUAGCAUGCACCUUUCUUGUAUUUUGUGUCAGCAUUUACACUUACAUAUUUACAUGUCUACAACUUUUUUUUUUUUUUGCCUUUUAUGCAUGAUAUUCCAUUGUUGGAGGUAUGAUUCUUUCUUGCAGCCUGUUUAGUUGUCAACUUUGCCACUGCUUCUGGGGAAAGGAAUCACAUCUCUGACAUCAGGAAGCCCAGUGGCAAAGAGAACCAUAAGGUCAAACCCAAGAGUAAAACCAGAAUGCUUGACUGUUCCAUACCGGCGAAGAUCUAAGUACCAUUCAUACUGCUCUUUGGGCAAGCCUAGUUCAUUUAUCCUGCAAACAAGUUUAGUAACAAAGUUUGGAAAUUAGUUCUUAUUUUGCUAAGAGAUUAUGUAAUUGCUUAUGAUCAUAAUGUUGAAUUGCCAUUAAUGUGAGCCAUAAAUGAAGUUUAGCUGAGAUCAGACCCUGUUAGUAAUUAAAGUGAGCCAUAAGUGAAGUUCCGAAGAGAUCAGACACUGUUAGGAAUUGAACCAUUGUCCACAUUAAUUAAAAUCUUGCUGCUUUUGUCAAUUCAGAGUCAAUGUUCAAGUGACUGACCAUAAUCUCUCUUCCUCUUUUUUCUUUGUUUCUUUGUUCGUGGCUUGUAAAGCAAUUAACCACUAAACAUGAUAUCCAGUAGAAAUCAGUAGAACUAUUUACUUAUUACCUUUCAUUUAGCAAAUCGAAGCGCUCUUCCUUUUGGCUACCUGUGAUGAAUUUUCCAACCUGAAAAAAUGCCAUCCAGUAUUAUAAAAUUCUGUUAUAUUAGGAUUUGGAAGGAGUGCAAAAGCCUCAAUAAACAUUAAUGUUCUCUUUAAGGAUUAUGCACAUCAUUAGAGAUUUUUUUUUUAAUCUUACUGUGGGUGCAACCAUAUCAAAUGCCGCAACUGUUUUUCCAUCAUCAUUCAACCGUACAUAGAAUGGCUUGAAUUCUUUUGGGAAGUUGUAUACAAUUACAGGCUUCUUAUAGAUUUCAUCAACCAAAUAACUGUCAAUGCAUAAACACAAUAUGAGUAGCCACAUUCGAAAAACACCUCAUUUCCAAUCCUUACAGGAACUUUUAUAUGAAUAAAUAACAACAUAAUAUAAAUACCUUAGAUGUUGAGAUGUUAAUUCAGUGCCCCAUUCAGGUUCAGUUUCAAAUUUUCUAUCAGCAACCUAGUUGUCAAAAUGCAGUAACACCUUUAUGAAUAUAACUUGCCAGAGGUUAACAUGUUUGUUACUAAUGUAAAAGAACAGGAAACUAAACCUUUUUCAAAACAUUUACUGCUUCCAUGUAGGUGAUCCUUUCAUAUGAAGAUGAUAUCAUUGCUUCAAGAAGAUUGGUUUUGUCAAAGUGUCUCGAAACAAAUUUCAUGUCCGUUGAACAAUUCUCCAAAACCCAUUUGCAGAGGAACUUGAAAUAGUCUUCUGCACAGUUCAUGGCAUCCUAGGAAACCCACAACAUAUAGAAAUAUUUAUUUAUUUAUUUUUAUAACACCUUCAUAUCUAUUUCAGACAUUUUUAUUCAUAAUCUCUCAAGAGUGCUAUAAAUCCAUAUGAAACAUUGCAGAGGUUCCCAAUGUAAAUAGGAUGCUAUCACAUUAAUAGAAGUUGAGAAAAGUUAUCAAUCAGUUGGACAUCAUUCUAUGCAAGUUGAAAUGAGAAUUCAGAAAAGAUUUAGUGACUAUUGACAAGCUAAUUCCUAUAAUAUACCUUGUGAUGAACAAAUUUUUAUAUAAAAAACUAUUAUCAAAAAUCAUGUUUGUGACAGACCAAACUGGCCGAACCAGCAUUAAUGACUUUCAGCUCGUAACACCAGAAGGAACCAACCAGUGAUUGUCAUACCUCUAGUUCUGAAAAAGCCAUUUCAGCCUCAACCAUCCACAUCUCUGCCGCCUGUUUUGUGGAUAUCCUUCUAUCUGCUAAAAACCUGGGUCCAAAUGAGUAGACAUUUCCAAGGCCACAUGCAUAGCUUUCCAGAUGGAGGACACCAGAAACUGUUAGAUAAGUAUGUUGAGAGAAGAAAUCUUCAGGAAUAUUCGCAGCCUUCAAAGUUUCCAACCUAAGUUUUUCUUUUUCUUCUAAUUGUGAUGCCAAUUGUUUUGUUUUGAGCAAAUCCUGCUCUGCAGCGAGCAAUGCCUCCCUGUCGCUGUCACUUCUCUGGAGUUGUUGAAUUAGAUUAUUCUUCUCCUUUAUGGCAGCCUUGACAACUUCAAGAGCUUCAGUAUCACCAGUGAUCUUUGGCUCCUCCUUUUUAACUUCUUCAUCAGAAAGACUAGUAACCUGGAACUUUGCACUAAAUCCUUCAUCUGUGGUUGUUAAAAUGGGCACUUCCACACUGAAAAACCCAUUAACUUGGAAGAAUGUGUGAGUUGCAAAAGUCAAGGCACUACGGAUUCGCAUAAAAGAUGCCACCGUAGUUGUCCGAGGCCGAAGAUGAGAAUAGUCUCUCAAGGUCUCCAACGGCAAUCGCUUCUUUGAUAAAAUAUACUUAUCAUCUUCCACCGUUCCUAAAUGAAGGAUUUUAUUUACUUUAAACUCAAUGCUAUGUUUUCCCUGCGCUGGUAACUGACUUAGGACACCUUCCGCUAAUAUACAAGUUCCAAUAGGCAGUGGUCGGAUUGGGAAGUCAUCAGAGAACUCUAUCGUAACCUGGAGACUGUCAACACAAGAACCAUCGCUAACAAGCAAGUUAAGAAUUGGAGGAGGAGGUUUAGAGGUUGCAACUCGUUUAGAGGGCGCAGGCUGCAACUUUGCACGAGCUGGGUAAUUGUCGCUACCACCGAAAAUAUUUGAUGUUGAACUGAAUAUGGGCACUCCACUUUGAAGAAUAUCCGUGCAGCUGACUUCUUUAUGCCCUGGACGCACAACAAUCCCAUCAUUAUCCUCGGACUGCAACUGUGGCGAAGGGUCUUUCCUUACCUCCCUGGAAAACUUCACCCACCCACCAAUCACCAUUGUCUCACCCACCAAUCCAACCCCUCCAUCACUUCGUUCUAUUAUUGUUCUCAAGACCACCCGGUUCGAGUACAUGGAUGAUGGAAUCAGAGGAGUGGAGGGUUCUGUUUCAAGAGGGAUUGUUUCGGGUUCUUCGGAGGGUUUAUUGGACUUCUGAGAUGCCAAAAUUUCUUGGGAUGCCAUUUUUGGGUUGAAACAGAAGGAGAAGAUAGAAUUGAGACAAGAAAGGAGGAGAAAAUUUGCAGGUUGUUGAGUUGGGAAUUGAUUGAAUGAUGAAGGGACGCGGGUGAUAUAUAGAAGAAGAAGGAUGCUUUGCUUUGGAAGUCAUUCUUGAGGAAGGAAGAGGAGGGGAGUGAAGGAAAGGGAUUGUUUCAGAGAGUUGACAACAAAUAUGAGAAUUCAGAGAGAAAGGAAGGGAGAGGAGACGUGUAGGCGGCAAGGUUUGGUAUUCUUGAAGGCUGGGUAUUCGCAGGAGUUUCAAACAGUAUUGGAACCCAGAAGAGAGAGUCCUGUUGAAUUGGGCUUGCAUUCAUGGGCUCAACAGAGGGGGACAUUAAUAUAAGGAAGGAUCAAAGUUAAAAAUUCUUAAAGCAAUUCGAACAAGCCUAAUUUAAAUUAGUAAAUAAAAUCAUCAAUGGUUUCGAACCUUAUUUUAAAUUUUUUUUCUCAUUUUUCAAUAAAAAAAAUUAAGAAUUUGUUGAUAGUUUU